CAAUAGCGUAUAUUAAAGUUGUUGCGGUUAAAAAGCUCGUAGUUGGAUUUCUGCUGAGAACGACCGGUCCGCCCUUUGGGUGUGUAUCUGGCUCUUUCUUGGCAUCUUCUUGGUGAACGUUGCUGCACUUGACUGUGUGGAGCGCUACCCAGGACUUUUACUUUGAGGAAAUUAGAGUGUUUCAAGCAGGCAUACGCCUUGAAUACAUUAGCAUGGAAUAAUAGCAUAGGACUUUGGUUCUAUUUGUUGGUUGUUCGAGAACCGGAGUAAUGAUUGAUAGGGACGGUUGGGGGCAUCCGUAUUCUCAAGCGAGAGGUGAAAUUCUUGGACCUUGGGAAGACGAACAGCUGCGAAAGCGUUUGCCUAGGACGUUCUCUUUAA
rnacentral:rRNA from 1 species